UACUGGUUCCGGAUCACAUCAGAAGAUCCACACCAGUUCUGACUGCAGCCGGCACAGCCAGUACGGAUCCAGUGUUCACAACGGCAUCAUGAGAGGUAAACAGAUCAGCUGAUGAAGAACAGGAACCUCCGUCUGCAGAGUCUGAUUUAAUAAAGCUUCUGUUUGUAUAAGA